rnacentral:tRNA from 1 species
GCCCUCGUAACUCAGUUGGAUAGAGUGUCAGCCUUCUAAGCUGAAAGUCGCAGGUUCGAAUCCUGUCGGGGGCA